AACGAACGCUGGCGGCAUGCCUAACACAUGCAAGUCGAACGAGACCUUCGGGUCUAGUGGCGCACGGGUGCGUAACGCGUGGGAACCUGCCCUUAGGUUCGGAAUAACUCCCCGAAAGGGGUGCUAAUACCGGAUAAUGUCUUCGGACCAAAGAUUUAUCGCCUUUGGAUGGGCCCGCGUUGGAUUAGCUAGUUGGUAGGGUAAAAGCCUACCAAGGCGACGAUCCAUAGCUGGUCUGAGAGGAUGAUCAGCCACACUGGGACUGAGACACGGCCCAGACUCCUACGGGAGGCAGCAGUGGGGAAUAUUGGACAAUGGGAGAAAGCCUGAUCCAGCAAUGCCGCGUGAGUGAUGAAGGCCUUAGGGUUGUAAAGCUCUUUUACCCGGGAUGAUAAUGACAGUACCGGGAGAAUAAGCUCCGGCUAACUCCGUG
rnacentral:rRNA from 1 species